AUCAUGGCUACUUUGAAUUUCUAGUGAUGCCCUUUGGGUUGACCAAUGCACCGCCAACCUUUCAGGCCUUUAUGAAUGAGGAAAUACUGCCAAGAUUAUCUCCUCAACUUAGAGUGGAGUUUGUCCAAAAGAAGAUAGCGGCUACCUUUAAACAGCAAGAGGUCUCUGUAACUUUUUUUUUGUUUGUUUGUUAUAAUGAUGGAUGCCAAAGUUUAUGUACAUCUGCACGACGACCAUUUUGAUAUACAUCAUGUCAUUUUACUAA